GGGGGUAUAGCUCAGUGGUAGAGCACAUGCUUAGCAUGCAUGAGGUCCUGGGUUCGAUCCCCAGUACUUCCA
rnacentral:tRNA from 1 species